rnacentral:rRNA from 1 species
AUACGUAGGUGGCAAGCGUUGUCCGGAUUUACUGGGUGUAAAGGGCGUGUAGGCGGAGAUGCAAGUCAGGAGUGAAAUCUAGGGGCUCAACCCCUAAACUGCUUUUGAAACUGUAUCCCUUGAGUAUCGGAGAGGCAGGCGGAAUUCCUAGUGUAGAGGUGAAAAGCGGAGAUAUUAGGAGGAACACCAGUGGCGAAGGCGGCCGUCAAGACGGAAACUGACGCUGAGGCGCGAAAGCGUGGGUAGCAAACAGGAUUAGAUACCCUGGUAGUCCAUGCCGUAAACGAUGAAUACUAGGUGUUGGAGGGUUGCCGCCCAUCAGUGCCGCAGUGAACGCAUUAAGCACUCCGCCUGGGGAGUACGACCGCAAGGUUGAAACUCAAAUGAAUUGACGGGU